AUCGAACGCUGGCGGCAGGCCUAACACAUGCAAGUCGAACGAGUGGCGGACGGGUGAGUAAUGCCUGGGAAACUGCCUGAUGGAGGGGGAUAAUUACCGGAAACGGUAGCUAAUACCGCAUACCAUUGGAUGCGCCCCGAUGGGAUUAGCUAGUAGGUGGGGUAACGGCUCCCCUAGGCGACGAUCCCUAGCUGGUCUGAGAGGAUGACCAGCCAAACUGGACCGGCGACACGGUCCAGACGCCUACGUGAGGCAGCAGUGGGGAAUAUUGCACAAUGGGCGCGAGCCUGAUGCAACCAUGCCGCGUGUAUGAAGAAGGCCUUCGGGUUGUAAAGUACUUUCAGCGGGGAGGCGUUACCCGCAGAAGAAGCACCGGCUCACUCCGUGCCAGCAGCCGCGGUAAUAC
rnacentral:rRNA from 1 species